rnacentral:rRNA from 1 species
AUUCCAGCUCCAAGAGCGUAUAUUAAAGUUGUUGCAGUUAAAAAGCUCGUAGUUGGAUUUCUGGUCUAAUGCGCCUGGCCCGCUGCCGUUAGGUAUGUGAGUGCCGGUGCGCGUUUACCAUCCUUCCAGAGAACACUUCUACCAUUUAUUUGGACGGAUGUUGUCUUCUGGAUCUUUUACUUUGAAAAAAUUAGAGUGUUUAAAGCAGGCCUUUGCUGUGAAUACAUUAGCAUGGAAUAAUAAUCUAGGACUUCGGUUCCAUUUUGUUGGUUUCUAGUACUGAAGUAAUGAUUGAUAGGGAUAGUUGGGGGUGCUAGUAUUGGCCGGCCAGAGGUGAAAUUCUUGGAUUCGGUCAAGACUAACUUAUGCGAAAGCAUUCACCAAGGAUGUCUUCAUCA